rnacentral:rRNA from 1 species
CGGUGUUUAACUGGCGUGAUGUGGGACGUCCUACCGGUGGGCUUAGCCUCGCGAGGGGCGGCCCAACUAAUAUCCCGUCGCGGUGCUCUUUACUGAGUGUCGAGUCGGGCCGGUACGUUUACUUUGAACAAAUUAGAGUGCUUAAAGCAGGCUAUCCUCGCCUGAAUACUGCGUGCAUGGAAUAAUGGAAUAGGACCUCGGUUCUAUUUUGUUGGUUUUCGGAACCCCGAGGUAAUGAUUAAUAGGGACAGAUGGGGGCAUUCGUAUUGCGACGUUAGAGGUGAAAUUCUUGGAUCGUCGCAAGACGGACAGAAGCGAAAGCAUUUGCCAAAAAUGUUUUCAUUAAUCAAGAACGAAAGUUAGAGGUUCGAAGGCGAUCAGAUACCGCCCUAGUUCUAACCAUAAACGAUGCCAGCUAGCGAUCCGCCGAAGUUCCUCCGAUGACUCGGCGGGCAGCUUCCGGGAAACCAAAGCUUUUGGGUUCCGGGGGAAGUAUGGUUGCAAAGCUGAAACUUAAAGGAAUUGACGGAAGGGCACCACCAGGAGUGGAGCCUGCGGCUUAAUUUGACUCAACACGGGAAACCUCACCAGGCCCAGACACCGGAAGGAUUGACAGAUUGAUAGCUCUUUCUUGAUUCGGUGGGUGGGUGGUGCAUGGCCGUUCUUAGUUGGUGGAGCGAUUUGUCUGGUUAAUUCCGAUAACGAACGAGACUCUAGCCUGCUAAAUAGGCGUACCUUAUGGUAUCGCGAAGGCCCCCGGCUUCGGCCGGUGGGUUUUUACUACCAACGUACAAACAAAUCUUUUUAGAGGGACAGGCGG